rnacentral:tRNA from 1 species
GAAAUAUAGUGUUUAAUUUAAAGCUUCUAACUUUUUAAUUUAAUGGUUAAAUUCCAUUUAUAUUUCU